UUCCAGGUAUUCCAUCUUUUGAAGGCUCCUAGAUCUUUCCCUGGAAUAAACUCAGGAUUAUUAGACAGCGUUGAUAGAAGCCUGAAUCCGGAGAUUGUCUGUUCCAGGAAUGACCAGGAAACCCUGUCAAAUGCCUUAUCGGCAUCUGUGGCACGAAUCCUGCCUGAUCUGGGUGAAUCAAGUGAGGUAAGUGAUGCUGUAAU